UCUCCUCCAUCCAGCGGGAGAGACGGGGCGACCUGUCCGACAUCGGAGCGCUCCUGGGACUCCGCAGGGGGAAAAAAAAAAAAAAAUCACCAAAAAAAAAAUCGCCCCAAAUUCCUGGGAGCCGAGGGCCGUCCGCGGGGCGCCGCCACGGUUUUGACCUUUAGGAGAGAGCCAAUUCUGGAGAACAACCUAACUUCUUUGAUUGAACAUUCACAUAAUGCAUUGGAACAUGAUAGGAGAUUAAGGUUUAAUAAUGAUAGAAUGAAGACCAUAAUAGAACACUUCCCCUACUUAGCCCAGCAAUUCUUAUGUUAGGUCUUUUGAAAGGUGUACCGCAAGGAAUGAAGUGCCAUCUGUAAAUUAAUGCUUUUACCAAGGUGGAUAUUACUAUCCUUUAUUCAUCGAAAAAGUUUUAUUCUAAGUGUUAAUUUCUCAUUGAGUAUUGACAGAAAGGAGAAAAAUUAAUGUCCCAAACUUUUGAGAUAGAUUUGGCUCUAGCCUGUAUUUUGACACCGCCACUGCCUCCCCUCCAAAAGGUGAGAACUGACUAUUCCAUGUGUACCUAGACCAUGUGGAGAAAGGACUGAGACUGGAAGCAGAAAACAGACAUUGUAUAGAGCAGAGUGCCUGACAACGGCUCACUCUAGUAAAGGGCAGUAAUUGCCACAUGAUAUGAUCCUCUCGUCACAGAAUUUUGCAUCCGACUUAUAUGCCUGGUCUGAUGACUUCUAUCUUUUUAUGACUCCUAAAUUAUGGAGAUGGAGAUGCAGCAGGGGUGAGGGUUCUGGAGUCUUCAGCAGGUGGAUUCCUGUACCUUCAACACACUUCACGUUAGGUGGAGGCAGCAGCACAUUUCCUAGAGCUUUGGUUCCGAUGAUCUGGAUUUAUCAGAUAUAUGCCCAAGAGAACUGGAAGCAAACGUACAAACAAUAAUAUAACGUGGAUGUUCGCGGCAGCAUUAUGUGGAAUAGCUGCACUCAAAAACAGAAAUAACCCCAAAUGCCCGUAAACCAAUGAUGGAUACAUAAGCAAACUGCGGCAGGCCUCUUCGAUGGAAUAUUAUGCAGCCGUAUAAAAGGUGAUCCUGGGGCAGCCCGGGUGGCCCAGCGGUUCAGCGCUGCCUUCAGCCCAGGGCGUGACCCCGGGGUCCUGGGAUCGAGUCCCACGUCGGGCUCCCUGCGUGGGGCCUGCUUCUCCCUCUGCCUGUGUCUCUGCCUCUCUCUGUGUGUGUCUU